rnacentral:pre_miRNA from 1 species
CUUGUACUCCCUCCGUUCGGAAUUACUUGUCUCAGAAAUGGAUGUAUCUAGAACUAAAAUACAUCUAGAUACAUCCAUUUUUGCGACAAGUAAUUCCGAACGGAGGGAGUAGAUG